GGAUGUGAGGGCGAUCUGGCUGCAACAUCUGUCACCCCAUUGAUCUCCAGGGCUGAUUCGGCUGAUUUGGCUGGCUGGGCGGGUGUCCCCUUCCUCCCUCACCGCUCCAUGUGUGUCCCUCCCGAAGCUGCGCGCUCCGUCAUAGAGGACGGCCUUCCCCAAUUGAGACGGACCGGUCUUUGGUUGAGGGUAUACGAGUAGCUGCGCUCCCCUGCUAGAACCUCCAAACAAGCUCUCAAAAUGAUCUUCUGGCGGUAGCGCAGCGGGUUAAGCGCACAUGGUGCAAAGAGCA
rfam:Erinaceus europaeus unplaced genomic scaffold scaffold00932, whole genome shotgun sequence